AAUGGGUCAGCGACUUAUAUUCUGUAGCAAGGUUAACCGAAUAGGGGAGCCGAAGGGAAACCGAGUCUUAACUGGGCGUUAAGUUGCAGGGUAUAGACCCGAAACCCGGUGAUCUAGCCAUGGGCAGGUUGAAGGUUGGGUAACACUAACUGGAGGACCGAACCGACUAAUGUUGAAAAAUUAGCGGAUGACUUGUGGCUGGGGGUGAAAGGCCAAUCAAACCGGGAGAUAGCUGGUUCUCCCCGAAAGCUAUUUAGGUAGCGCCUCGUGAAUUCAUCUCCGGGGGUAGAGCACUGUUUCGGCAAGGGGGUCAUCCCGACUUACCAACCCGAUGCAAACUGCGAAUACCGGAGAAUGUUAUCACGGGAGACACACGGCGGGUGCUAACGUCCGUCGUGAAGAGGGAAACAACCCAGACCGCCAGCUAAGGUCCCAAAGUCAUGGUUAAGUGGGAAACGAUGUGGGAAGGCCCAGACAGCCAGGAUGUUGGCUUAGAAGCAGCCAUCAUUUAAAGAAAGCGUAAUAGCUCACUGGUCGAGUCGGCCUGCGCGGAAGAUGUAACGGGGCUAAACCAUGCACCGAAGCUGCGGCAGCGACACUAUGUGUUGUUGGGUAGGGGAGCGUUCUGUAAGCCUGUGAAGGUGUGCUGUGAGGCAUGCUGGAGGUAUCAGAAGUGCGAAUGCUGACAUAAGUAACGAUAAAGCGGGUGAAAAGCCCGCUCGCCGGAAGACCAAGGGUUCCUGUCCAACGUUAAUCGGGGCAGGGUGAGUCGACCCCUAAGGCGAGGCCGAAAGGCGUAGUCGAUGGGAAACAGGUUAAUAUUCCUGUACUUGGUGUUACUGCGAAGGGGGGACGGAGAAGGCUAUGUUGGCCGGGCGACGGUUGUCCCGGUUUAAGCGUGUAGGCUGGUUUUCCAGGCAAAUCCGGAAAAUCAAGGCUGAGGCGUGAUGACGAGGCACUACGGUGCUGAAGCAACAAAUGCCCUGCUUCCAGGAAAAGCCUCUAAGCAUCAGGUAACAUCAAAUCGUACCCCAAACCGACACAGGUGGUCAGGUAGAGAAUACCAAGGCGCUUGAGAGAACUCGGGUGAAGGAACUAGGCAAAAUGGUGCCGUAACUUCGGGAGAAGGCACGCUGAUAUGUAGGUGAAGUCCCUCGCGGAUGGAGCUGAAAUCAGUCGAAGAUACCAGCUGGCUGCAACUGUUUAUUAAAAACACAGCACUGUGCAAACACGAAAGUGGACGUAUACGGUGUGACGCCUGCCCGGUGCCGGAAGGUUAAUUGAUGGGGUCAGCGCAAGCGAAGCUCUUGAUCGAAGCCCCGGUAAACGGCGGCCGUAACUAUAACGGUCCUAAGGUAGCGAAAUUCCUUGUCGGGUAAGUUCCGACCUGCACGAAUGGCGUAAUGAUGGCCAGGCUGUCUCCACCCGAGACUCAGUGAAAUUGAACUCGCUGUGAAGAUGCAGUGUACCCGCGGCAAGACGGAAAGACCCCGUGAACCUUUACUAUAGCUUGACACUGAACAUUGAGCCUUGAUGUGUAGGAUAGGUGGGAGGCUUUGAAGUGUGGACGCCAGUCUGCAUGGAGCCGACCUUGAAAUACCACCCUUUAAUGUUUGAUGUUCUAACGUUGACCCGUAAUCCGGGUUGCGGACAGUGUCUGGUGGGUAGUUUGACUGGGGCGGUCUCCUCCUAAAGAGUAACGGAGGAGCACGAAGGUUGGCUAAUCCUGGUCGGACAUCAGGAGGUUAGUGCAAUGGCAUAAGCCAGCUUGACUGCGAGCGUGACGGCGCGAGCAGGUGCGAAAGCAGGUCAUAGUGAUCCGGUGGUUCUGAAUGGAAGGGCCAUCGCUCAACGGAUAAAAGGUACUCCGGGGAUAACAGGCUGAUACCGCCCAAGAGUUCAUAUCGACGGCGGUGUUUGGCACCUCGAUGUCGGCUCAUCACAUCCUGGGGCUGAAGUAGGUCCCAAGGGUAUGGCUGUUCGCCAUUUAAAGUGGUACGCGAGCUGGGUUUAGAACGUCGUGAGACAGUUCGGUCCCUAUCUGCCGUGGGCGCUGGAGAACUGAGGGGGGCUGCUCCUAGUACGAGAGGACCGGAGUGGACGCAUCACUGGUGUUCGGGUUGUCAUGCCAAUGGCACUGCCCGGUAGCUAAAUGCGGAAGAGAUAAGUGCUGAAAGCAUCUAAGCACGAAACUUGCCCCGAGAUGAGUUCUCCCUGACCCUUUAAGGGUCCUGAAGGAACGUUGAAGACGACGACGUUGAUAGGCCGGGUGUGUAAGCGCAGCGAUGCGUUGAGCUAACCGGUACUAAUGAACCGUGAGG
rnacentral:rRNA from 1 species